CCCAGACUCCUACGGGAGGCAGCAGUGGGGAAUAUUGCACAAUGGGGGGAACCCUGAUGCAGCGACGCCGCGUGGGUGAAGGAGUACUUCGGUACGUAAAGCCCUAUCAGCAGGAAAGAAAAUGACGGUACCUGACUAAGAAGCCCCGGCUAACUACGUGCCAGCAGCCGCGGUAAUACGUAGGGGGCAAGCGUUAUCCGGAUUUACUGGGUGUAAAGGGAGCGUAGACGGCAGUGCAAGUCCGGAGUGAAAGCCCGGGGCUCAACCCUGGGACUGCCCUGGAAACUGUAAAGCUGGAGUGCGGGAGGGGCAGGCGGAAUUCCUGGUGUAGCGGUGAAAUGCGUAGAUAUCAGGAGGAACACCGGCGGCGAAGGCGGCCUGCUGGACCGUAACUGACGUUGAGGCUCGAAAGCGUGGGGAGCAAACAGGAUUAGAUACCCCCGUACCG
rnacentral:rRNA from 1 species